AUUCUCUCCUCCAAGCUGCGGUGUCCUGUUGUCAAACCGAGAGGGUGUGGCAGAUGGCAGUGUAAGAGCAGUUAGUGUGUUGUGAUGCGACCUGCCUGAGGCUGUUGGUGGGGGGCGAUGGCGGUUGCUAUGGAGCAGGUCGUCACUGGCGGUGCGGUGGUCUGUGCUGUCAGUUGGUGAGGUACUGUAUGUUCACAGGACCACAGACAGAAUGCUGCUGGCUGUACCUCUGUGUCUGGUCUCACUGGUGCAGGAGGGAGGACCCCGAGGUUUGUUGUCCAAUAAAUGCCUGAGUAAAAAUAAGAACAAAUUGAGUGGUAGCUGUGGGUGGGGGGUCCUUGUAGUGAGAAGACAUCCCAUGUUGUUAGGAACUCUGUUCUAUGCCAGUAACGUGGACAACUGACGAGCCCUCAAUGGAAUGGUUAAAAGGGGGUAUUUUCUAUCCGAUUUUAGAUUGAGAACAGUUGAUUGUCUAGUUGUCAAACUAGCAACCUACCCUUUGACCUCCACUAAUGCAGCUUGUCUUGUUUUCUUUCCAGAUGUCAGACGAUUGAGACUUCUCUGUGGACAUCAACCAGAGCUUAAGUCUGCCAGUGGACACCUCUCUACGCCUAACAAUACUGACCAAAAGGCGCAGUUGUGUAGCAGUUGAGUAUUGCUGGUUAGCUGUUAAGGUGCGAUGCAGUGCUGAUGGUGAGGUGGCAGUGCCGUGGCUGGCGGGGGGUGUUGCGGUGCCCGGUGAGUGCCCGGUGCAGUUGCCGCCCUGCUAUCGACUUUGUGCUGCUGCCGUUUGCCUGGUUCUGGUCUGUAAGAAUAAAUCAAUCACUGCUGUGGUGGCAGAUCUGAUCAUCCCAUCUCUCUCCCUGUUGUCUUAUGGUAUCUUACCAUUGUGGAUGUACCAAUACUAUUUUCUUCCUCCCCUCUUUUUCCAUCCCUAGCCUGGUGGAACCAGUCUGAUCAUUGUAUUAUCGAUCAGGCUGGUUCCAACAGGUUAACUAGCCUACACCCCCCCCAAACUGUGCUUUAGUCCUCUGUUGUGAGCUGGUUGUAUCCACUGAUGGAAGAGUCUGUUAUGGCUCGAUAGAGGAGGGUUGGAUAAAGGGCAACCCACUAGCUUGAAAAAUUAGUCUCAGUAUUAUUUUGUGAACCCUCGCAAGAUGUCUUGUAAAUGCUCCAGGUGAAGGCUAAUAAAAAUGUCAAAUUUGUUUUGUUGUAGACUGUUAUUUGAGCAGAUCUUGCGAGAGC
ensembl:lncRNA